ACGGGUGAGUAACACGUGGGUAACCUGCCCAAGAGACUGGGAUAACACCUGGAAACAGAUGCUAAUACCGGAUAACAACACUAGACGCAUGUCUAGAGUUUAAAAGAUGGUUCUGCUAUCACUCUUGGAUGGACCUGCGGUGCAUUAGCUAGUUGGUAAGGUAACGGCUUACCAAGGCAAUGAUGCAUAGCCGAGUUGAGAGACUGAUCGGCCACAUUGGGACUGAGACACGGCCCAAACUCCUACGGGAGGCAGCAGUAGGGAAUCUUCCACAAUGGACGCAGGUCUGAUGGAGCAACGCCGCGUGAGUGAAGAAGGGUUUCGGCUCGUAAAGCUCUGUUGGUAGUGAAGAAAGAUAGAGGUAGUAACUGGCCUUUAUUUGACGGUAAUUACCUAGAAAGUCACGGCUAACUACGUGCCAGCAGCCGCGGUAAUACGUAGGUGGCAAGCGUUGUCCGGAUUUAUUGGGCGUAAAGCGAGUGCAGGCGGUUCAAUAAGUCUGAUGUGAAAGCCUUCGGCUCAACCGGAGAAUUGCAUCAGAAACUGUUGAACUUGGGUGCAGAAGAGGAGAGUGGAACUCCAUGUGUAGCGGUGGAAUGCGUAGAUAUAUGGAAGAACACCAGUGGCGAAGGCGGCUCUCUGGUCUGCAACUGACGCUGAGGCUCGAAAGCAUGGGUAGCGAACAGGAUUAGAUACCCUGGUAGUCCAUGCCGUAAACGAUGAGUGCUAAGUGUUGGGAGGUUUCCGCCUCUCAGUGCUGCAGCUAACG
rnacentral:rRNA from 1 species